rnacentral:rRNA from 1 species
UACGUAGGGGGCAAGCGUUGUCCGGAUUUAUUGGGCGUAAAGAGCGUGUAGGCGGCCUGAAAGGUCAGCUGUGAAAACUCGAGGCUCAACCUCGAGACGUCGGUUGAAACCAUCUGGCUAGAGUCCGGAAGAGGAGUGUGGAAUUCCCGGUGUAGCGAUGAAAUGCGCAGAUAUCGGGAAGAACACCCGUGGCGAAGGCGGCACUCUGGGACGGUACUGACGCUGAGACGCGAAAGCGUGGGGAGCGAACAGG